UACGUAGGGACCAAGCGUUGUUCGGAUUUACUGGGCGUAAAGGGCGCGUAGGCGGCUUAACAAGUCACUUGUGAAAUCUCCGGGCUUAACUCGGAACGGCCAAGUGAAACUGUCAAGCUAGAGUGCAGAAGGGGCAAUCGGAAUUCUCGGUGUAGCGGUGAAAUGCGUAGAUAUCGAGAGGAACACCUGCGGCGAAGGCGGGUUGCUGGGCUGAUACUGACGCUGAGGCGCGAAAGCCAGGGGAGCGAACGGG
rnacentral:rRNA from 1 species